GAAACGAAAUGUCAACAGUUACGCAUGUCUUCUUGCUGGUUAACCGCGUGCUGGUUUAGGUCAUUGGUACUUGGUAUCAAGCACGACUCAAAAAUAAUAACCUAAAUGGUACUCCUUAAACUUCACGGAUUCUGUUCCUUACUGAAUAUGUAGACGGAUUUCAGUUAAUGGCGUCUUGGAAAUAAUUGUUUAAGAGAGGCUGGUCUUUGAGGGCGAGUUUAUGAAAGUGAAAACCUUGAACAUUUUUCGCCGAGGAGGAACUAUUUGCCUCUGAAUCUGAGUUAAAUACCAUAUUUGAAGAGCUUAACAAGAACAGGACCGACAUCUGGUGACUUGAAUAUGAAGUGAAUGACAAGGACAAGACGUACUCUUGUAUACAGCAUUAGUGGACAGUGGCGUCUACAGAGAUAAAUUCAUAGUUUGUACUUUAACGUGAAGUGGUGAGUGUUAUGUGCUGCUAGAGGGCAUAACAAGUAUACUCGCCAUGACCCGCUUCGAGACGCCAGGUCAAGUGGUACUUCUCUUCACUGGAGUUGCAGUCGUCAGCGUCGUCCUCAUAGCGUUGCUUAACGUCGAGGCGAAGAACAGGAAGAUGAAAGAGCCGGAGAUAGAGAAUGGCAACUUGUUCCAGGCGCUGGGGAGACAGAUAGCGCGCUGGUCCAAGAGUCUGGGUCACUUCCACAGCAGCGGCGACGGUGGCGGCGUUCAGAGCGACUUCAACGCCACCAUGGUGAAGAGAAGUCUGAGGUCCAUGCGACAUGACGUGGACGGUAAGGCACAGCAUCCCGUGCGACAUCACGGUAAGCACAGGCGGAAACUGGAGCCACCGAUGAACGUCAGCACCACGAUGGUGAGCCCCUCUGCGGAGGGCAACCAAACGUCUCCACACUCGAGGCGUCUCGCCAGCCAUGACGCGUGCUACAGCACGAACCAAGUGCUACUCGUCAUUGCCGUCACGUGCGCCGUCAACUUCGCCUUCAUUUUCGUCGUCAUGACGCUGGUGCACGUGUGCAACCGCGCCGGCAGCAAGCUAAGCGGGCUUGACUCUGUGGUUCUCGCCGAGGAUGGAGACUGCGACAUUCACGACCAAAAACUUCCGUUGGAUGGUUCCAGCUUACGUAGACAAGUAUCUUCAUACAGCAGUGUUCAGGAGUACGUGAAUUCUCUGCCAGGCAGCUUCGAUAGAACAGCCUCCAUGCUGUCGCUGCACAGUUUGCAUGCGGCCAGGAAGCCUUCGCAAGAGAACCUCCUCACAAAAAGCAACAGCCUACAUACGUCAUACUCCAUGGAGAAUCUCCUGUUCCUGGGCUGACACCAGAGUUUAGCACUUGGCUUGUAGAACCGCGAGACUGCGUUAUGGGCCACGCACAUCGAGAAGCCUCAGUGCAGUUGGCAAUUGGGUGGACUGUACUUAAAAUGAAGAAAAUCCAAAAUAACUGAUAAAUUUUAAAGUUACAAGAGGUGAGAUAGCGAUACAUAAAUUGUUAUUUUUUAUGAAUUAAUCUAAAAGUACGUUAAAUGGGAACCCGUCUUCCAGCCUUCCGAUAAUAUUGUGUUCGUGUAACUACAAAAAGUUUUAAAAUCAUUCACAAGUUAUAGAACGUUUGUGUAAUUUAAUAAUAUCGAUGCAAUAAGUUUUGUAACGUAAAAAAUGUAAAGAUUCUCUAGUGCUUAAUUAAUUAAGCACCACGCAUGAAGACGUGUGGGGGAGUGGAGAUAGCUAUACCAUUGUUUACCUUUAUACUAGAUGGAGGUGAGUGAUUAGUUUCACGCCCCUGCCGCUUUAUCCCCGUGGAAACAGUCCCCGGUACCCAUUCGAUAGGAGGCGUGGUGGGUUUCAUCGUCGAUCUGGACGUUACGGAGAAAAGAAGAAUCUUAUCCCUGCCGGGAAUCGAACACCUGUUCUCCAGUCCGUAUCCCUUCGUUGUACCGAAUGAGCAAUGACAGAGCCUCUUGUGGUGAUUCUCCUCAACAUUUGAGGAAGUGUGUACGGGCAUAGUGGACAGUUCUGGACGUUCUGGAGGUUUGGCUGAUCGAGCGUGGACAGAUACUUUUGGUACAAUGGCUGAAAUCAGCAGCAAACACAGGUUCCAGUCACAAAGACUUGCGUCGCCAAAAUCCUGACGGCUGGAUGCUGCGCUUGUGUAAGAUAAUGUAAAAUUAGUCCAAGGGAAUUACAUGAGAAAAGCAGAACAUUACAGCAGAGCAGCAGAUUUAUUCAUCCCAACAACUUGUUCACAGAUGAUGGCUAACUAUGGUGAAACAUAGUGACAUACAAUAAGGAGAAGACAGGUAAAUAUUAAUCAAAGUAGCAUGCAGAUGGCAAAAAGUGGAACACAUAGCAAGGAUCUACAGACUUGGCUUGAAUCUCAAUCCAAACUUUAAACAAGUAUCUUGUAUCACUUACUAUCCAGCCAUCAUCUGCGCAGCAUAACUCUAUGAUGGCUUAUUACAUUUUGAUGCAAUGUAGUACUUAAUUUAACCCUUUAAAUCAGAGUGGUAAAUAUGUGUACCACCUGCUUUAAUAUUUUAAAACUCUACUAAUCCCACAGUGUACUUAUGUUAUUCAUACAGUUCCUAAAAUAAACAGCUUUAACUGGUCUUUGUAACGAAAACACAGUGUUUUUCUGUGAGAUAGGAACAUAAUUUUUAAAUAUUAAUUAAAUGAAUGUCAUGCUUCAAGGGAUUAAAGAGCUAUCUUAUCUUUGGCUAUUUAGUAAUGCUGUUUCAAGCCUGGAGCUUAUAUAGCACUGUACUGCAAUAUGACAAUUAUUAAUGGUAGCAAAAGCAGUUAUGGUCUAUUUCAGAGACUAUUCCAGCACUCACCUGGACAGACAGGGAAAACCCACAGAACAUCCCUGUCAAGAUAACUAGCAGCCUAGCUGAGAUUCAAAUCACUUAUCUUCCAAAUACAAGUCUAGAAAAUUAUUACUUCACCAACCUGCAUAGUAGGACAAGUUCUAAAAAUAAGAAACAAAAUAAAAGGAUUCUCUGGUGUUUAAAAAUUUUAAGACUAAUGUUAUAAUAAAAUAUCAAUACACCUGAUGAUAAGCAAAUUACAUAAGAUCCCUACACUACAUCACACCUCUUCAGUGGUGAAUGACUUAAAUAUAGAGCAGGAAACAAUCAAAUGUAAUUUGAUCUGACUCA